CCGCCCGUCACACCACGAAAGCUCAUGGUACCAGAAGUCAUUAUCACCAACCCGCAAGGGAGGUAGAUGCCCAAGGUAUGAGUGGGUGAUUGGGGUG
rnacentral:rRNA from 1 species